GGUCAAGUUAUUAAGGGUGCAGGGCGGAUGCCUUGGCACUAGGAGCCGAUGAAGGACGUGAUAAGCUGCGAUAAGCUUCGGGGAGUUGCACGUAAACUUUGAUCCGAAGAUUUCCGAAUGAGGAAACUCACUUAGAGUAAUGUCUAAGUAUCAUUAAGUGAAUACAUAGCUUAAUGAGGGGAACUCAGGGAACUGAAACAUCUAAGUACCUGAAGGAAGAGAAAGAAAUUCGAUUCCGUAAGUAGCGGCGAGCGAACGCGGAUUAGCCCAAACCAAUAAAGUUUUCUUUAUUGGGGUUGCGGACAUAUCAUAACGAAGAGGUAUCGUAAUUGAAGAGGUUUGGAAAGACCCACCACAGAAGGUAAUAGUCCUGUAUGUUAAACGAGAAGACUUCAGAUAUGAUCCAGAGUACCACGGGACACGUGAAACCCUGUGGGAAGCAGGAGGGACCACCCUCCAAGGCUAA
rnacentral:rRNA from 1 species